UACGGAGGGGGCUAGCGUUAUUCGGAUUUACUGGGCGUAAAGCGCACGUAGGCGGAUCGGAAAGUUAGGGGUGAAAUCCCGGGGCUCAACCUCGGAACUGCCUCUAAAACUCCUGGUCUUGAGGUCGAGAGAGGUGAGUGGAAUUCCGAGUGUAGAGGUGAAAUUCGUAGAUAUUCGGAGGAACACCAGUGGCGAAGGCGGCUCACUGGCUCGAUACUGACGCUGAGGUGCGAAAGCGUGGGGAGCAAAC
rnacentral:rRNA from 1 species